GUGACUCCCAGGGACUGCCUUAGGAGAAAGUUUCUGGAAUGUCAGAACUUCCAGAAACUUUCUCCUAAGGCAGUCCCUGGAGUCAC
rfam:Homo sapiens chromosome 22, GRCh38 reference primary assembly.